rnacentral:tRNA from 1 species
UGGUUAGCUGAGUUGAUAGAGCGCUCCAUUGGAAAUGGAGAGGUCCUGGUUUGAUAUCAGGACCA